AGCAGCCGCGGUAAUUCCAGCUCCAAUAGCGUAUAUUAAAGUUGCUGCAGUUAAAAAGCUCGUAGUUGAAUUUCGGGACUAAUAUGUCGGUCGUGCCUCGGUACGUACUGGUAUUUUUGGUUUCUCCCUUCUGACGAACCUUGAUGUCAUUAAUUUGGUUUCUUGGGGAAUCAGGACUGUUACUUUGAAAAAAUUAGAGUGUUUAAAGCAGGCUCACGCUUGAAUACAUUAGCAUGGAAUAAUGAAAUAGGACGUUUGAUUCUAUUUUGUUGGUUUCUAGGAUUGACGUAAUGAUUAAUAGGGAUAGUUGGGGGCAUUAGUAUUCAAUUGUCAGAGGUGAAAUUCUUGGAUUUAUUGAAGACUAACUACUGCGAAAGCAUUUGCCAAGGAUGUUUUCAUUAAUCAAGAACGAAAGUUAGGGGAUCGAAGACGAUCAGAUACCGUCGUAGUCUUAACCAUAAACUAUGCCGACUAGGGAUCGGAUGAUGUUGAUUUUUUAAUGACUCAUUCGGCGCCUUACG
rnacentral:rRNA from 1 species